CACAAGCAGCGGAGCGUGUGGUUUAAUUCGAUGCUACACGAAGAACCUUUACCAAGGUUUGACAUGCAAGUGGUAGUGAUCUGAAAAGUGAACGACCCUUCGGGGAGCUUGCACAGGUGCUGCAUGGCUGUCGUCAGCUCGUGUCAUGAGAUGUUCGGUUAAGUCCGCUAACGAGCGCAGCCCUCACUGUGUGUUAUACGUGUCACACGGGACUGCCGGUUUUAAGCCGGAGGAAGGCGAGGAUGAAGUCAAGUCAGCAUGGCCUUUAUAUCUUGGGCUACACACACGCUACAAUGGUCUGUACAACAGGUUGCCAAGCCGCGAGGCGGAGCCAAUCCUAAAAGCAGGCCUCAGUUCAGAUUGUAGGCUGCAACCCGCCUGCAUGAAGUUGGAAUCGCUAGUAAUCGCGGAUCAGCAUGCCGCGGUGAAUACGUUCCCGGGCCUU
rnacentral:rRNA from 1 species